CGGCAACAGCUCAAAUUUGAAAUCUGGCCCUCUCAGGGUCCGAGUUGUAAUUUGGAGAGGAUGCUUCGGGUGUGGCCCCGGUCUAAGUUCCUUGGAACAGGACGUCACAGAGGGUGAGAGCCCCGUACGGUUGGACGCCUAGCCUUUGUAAAGCUCCUUCGAC
rnacentral:rRNA from 1 species